rnacentral:tRNA from 1 species
GGUUCCUGGCUCAGUGGUAGAACACUUGCCUAGCACAUAUGAGGCCCUGAGUUAAAUCCUCAGCACCA